ensembl:lncRNA
AUAUACUUCUCUGUAAGAGUCAAAAUCUGCUUCUCACUGUGGCGAAAGCCAGACCACGGGUAGCCCUACAUGGAAGUUGUACAGCCAGCAGAGAGCACAGGAGCAGAGUUAUGGCAAGAGGCACAUCACCGGGUCUCUGAUGAGAUCAGCCAUGGAUACUGUGGAGUGAGAAGGAAGUCCCUUAUCACAGCACACAUGGGUUUGCUGGGUUUGGGUCAGCAUACUUAGAAGAUAGAAUUGCACUGGCAGCUCCCCAGUCUCUCUCAGGUGGACAAAUGAAGACAAAAAGGCAGAAACAACAAGCCUGUGGCCUCACAUCAAGCCUGCCAGAAACAGAAUGGAAAUGCAGGAGUCUGGCAUAACUUCCAGAGGUCUGAUUGCCCUGCGGGGGAUGUGCUCAGCCUCUACCUGGAGAUAGAGUACCAGAAUAUCCCCAGUUGGAAAGGGAUAUCCAACCUGCCCCUCUCCUGACACAGCUCCGUGCCGUUCCCUCGGGCCCUGUCGCUGUCACACAGAGCAGAGCUCAGCGCUGCCCCUCCACUCCCUGUGAGGAGCUGCAGCCGCCAUGAGGCCUCCCCACAGCUCCUCUGCUCCUGGCUGAGCCAACCAGGGGACCUCAGCUGCUGUUCAUACGUCUCCCCUCUAGACUUUGGGGUUGUUUUGCUUUGCAAUCAUCCCCUCCAUCAAUGCCUGUUAAAUUGUUUGUCUUUAUGCACUCAUUUCCAUCCCCCACUUCUUAACUCCUAUAAAACAGGCCCGCUGGCCUUUGUUUGCAGUGCUGGAAAAGGUGUAAUAACAAUAUUUCCAAUAUUCAAUAUUUUUGUUCAAACCAUCUUGAGAAAACAUUUUUUAAUGAAACACAUUUACUACUCCUCAUUUCUGUGUGAUCUGUCUGAUUUCCUAACUCUUCAAAAUGACAAAAAACAUUUGCCUGCUCAGAGAUGUUGGCCCUAAGCCCAUCACGCCCACGGGCUGUAGUUGUAUGAUAAGAAAUGUUUGCCUAAUUCUCCAUACUCUGGAAUUAUAACCUUAGUAUAAUGAAGAGAAAAAGCCCUUUACAUAAGCAAUUCCACCAGAACAUGGAAUUAAAGGACGAAUCCAAUCUAGGCAACUCAGGGGAGCAGCAUACAUGUAUUUACUUUCAGAGAUUACCUCUUGGAGAACGCAAAGAUACUACAGUGAGAGUUGCCAUUCUAAAAUCAAAAUACAGAUGGCUGUAGUCACAGUGAGACUGCUCCUGAGUGUACCAGAAAUGCUUCUGCCUCUGCUUUCUGCAGCUUGCUCUCAUGCAAGACUGGCAGAUAACCAGUGCAGCAUGGGUUAAAAAAAAAUAAAUGGUAGACCACAGAAUCCAACUUUGCAAGCUGUCAGUCUGUUCAGGUAGAUGUUAACCGACCUCAGCUCUUGAUUUCAGUGCUUUGCUAGGCUGCUGGGCUAGGCAGAAGAAGGCAUGCAAUAUACUCAGUGCUUUCAACAAGACUCUCUGCCUGUGCCAGUUUUCUUCUCCUGCGGAUGGGAUGAGACACAGAUAGUAUUUCUUGGUGAGUUGUGGGUAUUUCUGCAAAUCACUUAAAUGACCUUGCAGCAAUUCCAGCAGAUAACAUUAUACAUUCUCCCCCUUCCUUUAUAAAUCACAUCUUUAUGUCUUUUAGGCUUAGGGAUACAAUUGUCCCAUUGCAUGGCUCACUACAACAAAAUGUUUCUUUCUCACUGUGGUGACUUAACACUGUGCAAAUGCUUCUUUGUACUUCCUGAUACCAAAAGCUACUCACAAACAAUAGAUGAACUGUUUAUGUUUAUGUAGCUUUCCCUUUCCCCAGAAUUGACACAACAGUUUCAUUUUGAAUACUUCAGCAUCUGUUAAGUCUGUACUCUACGGGGUCUUCACAUCCUGCUUCUAAGCACACUCUGAUAUGUUCCUUCCCUGACAAUGCUAGGCAGCACAGGGGCUGGUCUCCUACCUCAAGUCCAGCUUUCCCAGGGAGUUGUGGGUGCUCCUCUGCCUGUCUCACCAGCAGGGCCCCAUUCAAGGGCAAUAUCCAGCCACUGACCAGGUAUGUGCCGCAGUGGCAAGGCAUGUCCUACUGCACUGCUUUCUCCCAUCAUAAAUGUUUUCUUUUGGCUACUUUCCAAGCUUUGCUGUUGGCACAGUGACUUCCCGAGCACCCUCCAGCUGCAGCAUGAGUCAUGCAGAGAAUGUGGGCACUGCCCUGCUCUGGGCUUCAGUCUUCUUAAAUAUGAAUGAGCAUAGUGGCCAGCCACAGAGGAUUCUAAAAUGGAGAAGAGCAACUGACCAGAGACUUGUAUGUGAAACAAGUCUCUGCGAAGUAUGAUGCUGGUCAUAUGGACUGCUCUUGGCCUACCCACAUACACUAUUUUCUAUUCCUGUUGUGAGCAUGGCUGUGCUGGAAGCAUGAGUGAAGCAUGUUAGGCAGAUUCAGCCAAACUGCAGAGCAAUAGGAUGUACACUGUACAAGAGAGAGUUAGAUUUCACUACCUCAAGACUUGUCACUGCAGGACAGCCAGGACACCAAGCUACUGGACCACCAAGAUGGCAGCCAGGUGCUGCCUGUCAGGGGAAGAGGAACCUCAUGCAGCACAUAAUGGCAUGCCAUCUCAGGGUCGUGUGGGCCCUUGAGGAGGAAAGGCAAGCUAAUGAGGGAAGCAGAUGCAGUUUAGCCAUUCUUGUGUGUGCCACCAAGCAUUCAAGCAGCGCAAGUGUAGGCGCUUGUGCUCUUCAGCGCUCACCUCCCACAGCAGCCGGUCUGAAAGCUCCUUUCCCUGGCACUUCUCUUUACUUGUGAAUGGCUUCUUCCACAAAUAUCUACCACGAAUAUGCACAGAAUAAACCGCAGGUUACAGGCAAGAAAUGAUAGCAAUUUUUUUCCUCUGUUUCUUUCAUCUCUUGAACUAGCUGAAAUAAAUAGCUAUGCUGCUGCCUUAAAUCACUGAUCACCUUCAGCAAGGUUCCCACUUUUUCACACCAAGUUUGCAGGUCAAAGUCCUAUUCUUUGUCAGAUCAGCUGACGUAGUUUGAGAAGUAGCCAAGGUUUGGGACAUAAUAGUUUCUUUUUUAUAUUUGGAAUGGAAGAAGCAAAAGAAAAAAAAAAGGAUCACUUGAAAUAUAGGUGAAUCAAAGCAAUUUCUUCUCUCUUUCUGGCAACAUGCAAUAGAUUUGACUUUCAUAUCACAUAAAUAUUGGGGGAAAAAGAAUGAUGUUUUAAGUUUUCAUUAGUAGUGGAAGAAAAGUAUUCAAAAGGAGCAUUUGCAACCAAAAGUCACUUUGUCAUGAAAAUUACGUAACUGCUACCAAAAAAAAAAACCCUACCAACCAUAGAACAUAUUUUGAAGACCGGAAUCAGCUAACAAAGACUCCUUACUUGAUGAACAUAUAUUCACAUCCAUAUUCAAAACCUUUUAAAAUCAAUGGGUAUGUCGUGUUAAGAAUUAAGAUGGACUUUGAAAGGGGUGUUUCAACCAACCAACCAACCAACCAAAAGCCACUGGGUUGUUAUUGGGGAAGCUUCCUCUCCAUUGCAAAAAAAAAAAACCAACUGCAAACCACAACUUUUUUGCAGAUUCUUCUUCAUUCACUUUUGCAAUGACCAUGAGUGCUUAGCCUACCCCUUGAAUGUCCAGACAAAAUUCGUUAGCAGAUGCUCCAUUUCUACCGUAAGAACUAUAGCAGCUCUGGAGCAGGGAACAGAAAAGUAAUUGAUUCUCACCCACUGCUGUAAAUUCAUUGUUUCUCUCUUGUCAGUCACUGUCAGGGGUAGUGUAGGAGAAUGACUGAGAAGCAGAUGGCUACAUCUAAUAAAUUUUGCAGGCUCAUUUUGAAACCACCAAGGCAGUCAGCAGAAACUCUUCUGCCUGUGCUCCUGUCACCGGCAGCACUGAAAUCAUGUUCUGUGUGCUGCUGGUUGGUAAGCUGGUCAGGUAGGCAGUGUCAGCCUCUACCGAAAUGCCCAAAAUACCAGAGCAAGUUUCUUCCUCUUUAGUACAUGUCCCAUGGGGGUGGGAGCAGAGGAGAAACCUGGGGAACAAGUAGAAAUAAAUAGAAUGAUACAUACCUCCUUCUUGAGGCCACUUUGAUGCUUUCUAGCACAACCGUGUGCAAGAUCGCCAAGGACUCUUUAGUAUUCAUCAGCUGCAAGAACCAAUUGCUGGAUCGUGCCGCUGGUGAUUUUACUCCCUCAGCAGGACUCACUCUCCUUCUUGCUUUCUGACAGCUCAGGAAGCUAUUCUCAGUGCAGGGUUGGGUGGGCCCCAGUAAUAUGUUGCAUAUGCCUUCAGCAGUUUUUCAAAGCAAUGGUACUUCACUGUAUGUACACAUGCAGGUAUGCAUGCUGUUGUGGGUAUGUUAUUAUUAGGCAGGCACAUUUUGCAGCCAUGCCAAAUACUUGUUAUCAUAUCAUAUCACAGAAUGGCCUGGGUUGAAAAGGACCGUAAUGGUCAUCGAGUUUCAACCCCCCCCUGCUAUGUGCAGGGUCACCAACCACUAGACCAGGCUGUCCAGAGCCCCAUCCAGCCUGGCCUUGAACACCUCCAGGGAUGGGGCAUCCACAACCUCCUUGGGCAACCUGUUCCAGUGCAUCACCACCCUCUGUGUGAAAAACUUCCUCCUAAUAUCCAACCUAAACCUCCCCUGUCUCAGUUAAUACCCAACGGAGAACGGAGGUUCUCUGAAGAGAGUGCAGGGAGUCAAUUUCUGUUGUCUGUAGAAUCCAGGAAAGAAAAGAAAAUCUGUCCUCAAGGAUUCCUGUAAGUGACAUAUUUAAUAUUUUCUGGAGGAAAAAGUUAGUUUUCUCACACUGCUUCCAUUUUACCAAGAAAGUAGUCGCGUAUGCGUAUUCUGAGUAUAUAAAAUUGAUGGAGAAUAAUUAUGUAGCUAUUAGAAGCAGGAAAAAAUGGUUACAUGUUACUUACUUUUAGCCUGAGAACAACUUUGUAAAUAGUUCUUCAUAUAUUUAGAAAGUAAUAGUUCGCCUACCUAUGAUAGAAGAUCCUUGCAGGUCCCAUGUGUCAGAGCAUGUCAGAACAGCCUCCCCUUUCAGACAGUCUGCAGGCAGAGGACUCAAAUGCUGUUGGGUUUUUUUGUUUGUCUGUUAUUUAAUAUAAUUUGCAGUUGAGCAGGUGAAAGAGUAUUAUGCUUGUUUUUUGUCAGGAGAGUUCUGUGUUGCAGGUUAGUGACCAUGGAGUUGAGCAGGGCAUUUACAGGCACAGUGAGGCAUCUGCCUGGCAGACCUUCACAGUAAUCCGUGGAAAGAAGGAAAAAACAAAAGAUCUAAAAAUUUUCAUAACAAAAUCACAUCAAGACAGCUUCUUUUCCAGAUAUGUAAAAACUUUGAAUGAUUUUAAAUCAAUAAGUUCCCAACUAAACCUGAACAUUUGUUGGCUUGCUUCUCUGAAUACUAAGAUAAAAGCAAAGCAUUUGGUUGAACAUUCUUGAAAAGCUAUUUUUGGCAUGUACAGCUAACCAGAGCUUGCAAAUUUUACAUUUCAAAAUGCAACUAAAUGUUUUGUAUGUUGUUUUAAUAUCUUCAAAUCACUUCCAGGUUGUAGAAUGCAAAAAUAAACAAGCAAACAAAGGAAGGAAGGAAGGAAGGAAGGAAGGAAGGAAGGAAGGAAAGAAGGAAGGAAGGAAGGAAGGACAGAAGGAGGGAAGGAAGGAAUAGAAACCUGUGCUGUGAAAUCAUUCUUUGAAGAAAGUGUAUAUUGCACACUUGAUAAAAGAGCACUCUACUCAGAAAGCCCAGUGCACAGAGACACACAAAUAAACUUUUGAUACAACUGUAGAUCUCCCACUUGUUUAAAGAAACCAAGCCAUAGUGCUAGACAUAAUGGCCAUAAAUAUAGUUAGUGCAAAUGAUGCAUUGUUAGGUCUUCUAGGGACAUAUCUUCAGUGCUGAUCUCUGCUUUUCCAGGCUGCUUCCAGCUGGGAAAGCAUUCAGUUUCUAUGAAACAUGUCCUUCACACCUUCUCAUUUAGUUAUGAGUAUUCCUGUUAAACACCACAGCUGGUAGUUUCCACUUUUUAAUUGGCACAAAAUAGGUGAUUAUUUCAGAAAAGAAAAGAUCACUUUGUUUUUGGAGCUACAAGUAUAUUAGUAUUAGAGGUGUUAUUUUGUGAUAUUGAACAGCUGAUAGCUGUCUCUCCACACAUGCUUUCCUCAGACUGAGGAAAAUAAUCUAUAACUCUUAAGACCAAGUGUCUAAUACAUUCUGUUGUGUUCCUGGUGUGAGCACUUCCUUCCAUAACUCCCCUUUUCUCACCAAUAGCAUUUCACCAUUGAUGUGAAAAUAAUGUAGGAUACAAAUAAUGUUUUCCAUGAAAUAGCAGUGGGUUUCAGUCUCUGCUGUGUCUGCUGUGUCUGCUGUGUUUGCUUACUGCAAUAAAUGACUUUCCUUUCUUUUUGUGGGGAGACAAAUAAGGUGUGCUAGUAUAUUAUUUGCUUUUCUUCAAUAUCUGUCUUGCAGAUUGAGAGUGCACAUAACCAUUGGUUUUGGAAUAAACCUUUGGAGACUGCAGCAUUUCUUGCACUACACAAAGUAGAAGGUAUGGGGUUUUGCCACUUCUUUUGUGUGUUUCUCCUACACCAGGUAUUUUGCCUAUGAAAAUAGAGUAUGGCAAGAAAACACACUUGCAAUCCUUCUUCCAGUUUCGAUAGUUUGCGUCCACUGUUACAAUUUAAGACCAGGCAGAAUAUGCAAUUACUCUUACAAGACACAGACAGGCAAUCCUUACCCAAAGAAAAUGGUGCUGAUCCUACUUGUGCAUGUGGGUAAUUCUACCCAUGCAGGUGACGCUACUGGGAAACUCCACGCCUGAUGCAGUUCUUAGCAGCUGGAAAUGUGGUUUUUGGACUUGGGCCCUUUAAUAUUAUUUGAACCAUGCUGUGGUUCAUUUGCUCACAGUGAGUAACAUAUUACUCUGAACAGACUCCCACUAGCUUUGGGGAGUCUGUUCACAGUGCAAGGACCCAUUCAGUAGUCAAAAUCUGGCCUCAGGCACUGCGUGCGUUAUUACAGCAGAAACUCAUUUUGAGCUGUGCUUGGGGAAAGGCUGCACACCUCUCCAGGUGACAGCCGUCAGUGUGCAUGGUGCUGCUUCCCAGAUCAUCUCCAUGCAGCAGCUCUUCCAUAUGAGCUGUGCAGGCUGCCAGAAGCACAUGCAGUACGCUUCUCACAAGCUGCUGUGCAAACCUAUCACUAAAGUCUUCAGGCUCGUGGGUCCUGCUGGCUGUGUUGCCAUGUCCCGUUUGUGAGCCUUGAUGAGAUUGCUCCUGAGCUUUGUGUGCAUUUAGAGCCCUGAAGUGAGAUGUCAGGGACAGAAGCUGAGGGCUUUGGCACAAAUAAGAUCUUCCAAACUAAAUUUAGGGGAAACUCCACAAAACUCUAUUGAUUUUUUUUUUUCUUCUCUGUACUUAAUUCAAUAUCUCUUUGCUCUAGUAGGAUAGCAAAUUGAUAGAAUCGUGUGUCCCCUUUACCACGAUGUCAUUUCAAGACAGCAACUGCCUGCUUUUAAAAGGAUGUGGAGUGCCCUCAACUAUUUUGUCUGCAAGAGCUAUGUGCGCAGAAUUUUCAGUGAAAUGUUAAGUGCAGAGUGACAAGAGUGUUCAUAUGGCUGGCUCACUGUGAAACCCGGAAUGUGUAGUACUCACAUCAGUCUGUUGGUCUGAUCAGGUUUUCCUGCUUCACUUCUCCCCUCCAGCAAGGCAGAGCUGGCUGCCACGAGCAUCCCCUCCUGCUGCUAGGAGGAGCAGGUGAAAGAUGAGGCCAGAGUGACAAUGAGGGCAGCAGGGACUCAGGAGGGAGAAGAAAGCAGAGUGACUCACACUGGGGCUUCAAUGAUUGUCCUUAAGUGUGGCCACUGGUUACUGCUCUCACAUUUGCAGUGUUUGAGGUGUAGGAGGACAUGGUCCUCAAGAUAAGCGAACAAACAUCAGCUUUAGGGCAGUAGCCCUUCAUAUUUCAUUCCAUGGAGAGUAUCCUUCUACUAAUACUCCUAGGAAAGACCAACUGCGGAAUAGUCUGUCCUCACUUCCAUAUCUCCCAUCUGUUACACCCAGCUCCUCACACACUUAUGCUAGUCCAUUGAUUUCUGGCUCUUGCUCACUAUGUGAGUCCCAUGGCAGGUGUCUGGGACCGAGCCUCAGCUCUGCCUUGUGAUGUGCAGGUACAGUGAUGCUUGUACAUAGGACAAAGCUGACAAAGCAGAAUAUUUCACAGCUGCCUCACAUACAGUUACGGGCACAACCAGCUUGAUGCUUAGGAUUACUCUAACACAGAAUCGUGGCACAAAUUCUUACAGCAAGGGCCAAAGGAGACCUACAUUCCUCUUUCAUGUGCCUGAGACCACACUGUGUGAAGAUCAUGGUUUAAUAUAGAUAUAACCACUAAGAGGAGAUUCAUACCUUGGCCGUUGGUCCCACUGUUACUUCAGAGUCUGCAGAUUUGCAGAAGGCAGCAGCAAAAUGGUGUCAUUGUAAUUCCUUGUAAAGAUUGGAACCUGUGCUGCAGUUUUCCCCCCCCCCCUUUUUUUUUUUCUUUCCCUCAAGUCAAGAAAGUAAAUAUAGAAAGAACUCUACAAGAAAAGUUGAGAAUUAUGUUUCUAUAAAAGAAUUUCCAGAAAGUAACAAGUGACUAAUAUUACUGAUGCAACAUGAAUAUAAUAGGUGAAUCUCAGCAGUAUAUCACAAUCAUGAUACCUAUGCCUUAGGGUAUUAAGACGUGAUGUAAACUUGAGCACUUUAGAGACCUCUGAUCUGUAUUCUGUUACAGAGGUCUGAAAGCAGUAUCUCAUUAAAAUGAGGGGGAAAAAUGAAACAACACUCGAGUCUUUAAAAAGCUGCUGCUUUCUGGGAAGAAAAAAAAAAAAGAUAUGCUCUUGUCAAAUUUCAGAUGUAAUCAUGAGCCUGAAGCAUGAGAUCUUGACAGUGUGCUAUUGUGCUAAAAUCUAUAGGAAAGCUGUCUGGACUCUUGAAAUUCUUCAGCAGAGGUUCAAGCAAAGAAAAAUAUUAAUUGGAAUGGUCACAACCAGAUGAAAUAACACAUUUCUUUUUAGGACAAUUAUCCAACUGCUUCCAACAGAACACUGGGGGAGGAAAUCACUGUGAGGAAGCCACGUAUUGGAGCAGUUUGCCCUGGGCUGUUGAACUGCCUCCAUCCUUGUACAUUUUCCAGACCUACCUGGAUAAAACCUGAGUGCCCUGAUCAGAUAGAUCUCAGAGCCAACCCAGCAGAAGGUGAGACUGUCGACCUCCUGAGGUGCCUUCCAACCCAAAUGUUCAAUGUCCACUUUUGGAAUUGCAUCUGAGCAGUGGCUGAUAGUCCUGCUUUGUGGUGAUAUAUAUAUUAUAUAUAUAUAUAUACUAUAUAUAUAUAUAUACAUAUAUAUUAGACAUAGAAAGGGGGUUACCUUUUGUAUGGGAAAAAUGAAAUCUGAACAUUUACAUGAAAAUAGAAGGUGCAGGAGUGUCAGCUGCACCCUUCUGAGCUUUCUGGCUAGGGUGGAGGCCUCAAGGGUGGGACACCCAACUCCAGGUCUGUGCUGCAUGACUCAGAGUAGAAGUUUGCACCCUACACUGCUCAGAUGGGUUGCAAAUGGCAAGCUGUCUGGACCAGAGUUUGAAUCAGCUUGCUAAUUACCCUUGAUAUGCAUGUGGUCACUAUUAUGUCUGUGGCUCAGUGAGGCACCAUGGCUUGAGGACCAAGUCCCAAGCCUUGAAUCCAGCAGCAGUCACAGGUGGUGCAGGGACAACUACAGCUUGGCCCAGCUCCAGAUGGUGCUGAGUCUGUUUUGGUCCCUUUCUGCUUACAGGACAGCUUUGAGAUUCUGUAAUGGCCAGAGCAAGGUCACAUUGCAGCUUUACUCCUUCUUAUUACAAAGCUGGCAUGGCACAGCUGGGGUAGAUAAGAAGCAUGGGAGUAAAAGGAGAUGUUACUGGCCAAAUUGGCUCCUUAGCCAUCUCAGGGCCAGCACAGAGGGCUGCAGAGAACCCCCUAGCAGGCCAGGGUUUCUGGUGCUGCUCUGAGCAACCCCGUCAGAGGUUGGCUGCGAUGCACAGAGCCAAAAACUCCCGACUGUUAAUCCUGCCUCUGAAUCAGUCUCCAGAGGCCUCAAGCAAAGCAUUUCACCUCUCUGUUGCAACUUCUCCAUCUGUAAAAUUGGGAUAAUGACAUUUUACUAACUUGUAGGAGUGCUGUGAACUUUAAUUAAGGCAGCGUUUGUAAAACGCUUUAAUGAGGGAAAGCACUAAGAACAAGUAGAUUAUUUGGUUAAGCUGCCUAUUGUGGUGCUCCCAGACCUGCCCAAAUAACUCAGAAUCCGUGUGUACAAACUGCAGAUUGUUAUCCUGCAAGCCUUCAAAGAUAAGCAUUUCAGGGCUUGAGACUUGGGUAGAUGGGAUUCAGUUUGGGAGCUCCCACUCCCAAGCACAGAAGUGUGCAGCACCUCCACUUGCUGCCAACCUAUUUUCCUUUAUUUUGCAGAUAACAAACAACAGUGAUUUAGCAAGAGAUGUCUUUAAAAAAGUUACAAUUCUAGAUGGUGGAAUAGCCUGCAAUACCAAAGGCUGAACGCAGGGCAUCCUUUUUCAUGCCUUUUUUUUUCUGAGUGUAGUUGAAACUGCACACAUAAGGUGCAUACAUAUCUGUCUCAUGUCCUGCCAUCCCAUCCUGGUGGGAUGAUGGGCCGGAUGGGACCAGUACUUCAGCUCUUACAGCCCAUGGUAAAUCAGGACUGACUACACUGUAUCUUUGGUCCUUCGGGUCACCAAAGGCAGACAGACAUAGGGAUGCUGUGGGGAAGAUGUGCCUCCCUCCAAGGACCCUUCCCAGUACCCCUUCUUUUCAGAGUGGACAGAGGUGUAGAUGCCACUGCAGCCUUACCUGGGGACUAUGGCUCUUCUCUGCUCCCUCUUGGCACCCCAAGAGUAUCAGGAAGGAGCAGCUCCUCCAGUUAAGUCAUCUGGAACAGCAGUUAGGCCUGCAACUCUAUAUUUUAAUCUGAGGAAGAUUUAAUCAGUCCAGCUGUUAAUGCCAGCCUGUUGCUCUCUGAUCAAGGAUUAUUUAAGCUAUUAUUGAAAUACUGUGCUCAGAUCUCUAUUAUGGUGAAUAUUCACAGGAACAGUGCUCCUCUUGAGCUGAGCAAAUAAUGUGGAGCUGCUUGUUUUAGACAGAAUUCCACAUAUUCACUUUGUGUUACUUUCACAUUGCUGGUCAGGAACAAUGAUAUUUGUCCAGUGCUAGAAAUAAUUACUGGAACUCAUAUUUUGGUGACAUUUCAAGCAAGCUUCUGUGAUGGAAAUUGCCUUGCACCAUUUCCAAUUCCUUUAGGAAAGCAACAUCUGUCUGGUUAAGGGGUUUUGCACUAGAACUAGUGCCAAGCUUCCUAACUGAAUUUCCAUUCUUUACAUUUUAACCAUGUUUUCAAAUUUCAGACAUCUGAAUCAGUUUUCCUUUCAUCAGAUAUAAAAGAUGAUUGUCUGGAAAGAUGAAAAACCACUGAUCUAGCUGAAUCCAUGCUGCUUGUUUGUUCCUUUUACUACAGACACCUUGGCUUCCAGGUGUCCUCAAGAUUAAGCAACAUCUAGAUUUCAAGAAAGACUAUUCAGAGCAGCUGAUAUUGAGUCAGAACUAGAGUUCUAGAGUCAGUACUAGAGUCAGUACUACAGUCAGAACAGACCAAGAGUAAUGAACUUAAAUGUUUGCUUCUACUGCUCAGUUCAGAUACCUGAUGUGGUAUACAUGGGCAUGCAGGUAAAGAAAAACUGAGCUUCUGAAAUGAGCUACUAUUCAGGCUCAGCAAAUCAGUCAAUGUUACUGAUAAUUAUGAUUUUAGAGCAAAGUUCCAGUGAAGUCCUUUUUUUCCGAAGAACUCCUGUGAAACAACCCGCUCCCUUUUUUCAUUUAUGUGUUCUUAAUGAGGGUUUCAGAAAGGUACUUUCAAGAUACAUGAAGAAUGAGAGACCUCCAAUUACUGCCCCACUUAACAGAAUGUUUUUAAUUGUUGGGUUUGUCAUGCAUUUGAAAACCAUUGUGUGGUAAAUCCAAUAAUCCAAAUUAUUAUUUCUUAAUCCAAUUAGGCAUUUAAUUAAACUGUAAGAAGUCCAGCAGUGCUUUGGGAUUUUAUAUCUGCUUUUGGGCUUGUUUUAUUUUAGAAUUUUUGUUUGCCAUCAGAGGACAGAGCUCUAACACAGGACAACAAAGGUGUCCACCAUGCUGCCAUACUGAGCAGGGUUCUCAAAUAUUCCUAUCACAUUUCCCUCAACAGCCAAACCAGAUAGAAUUGUAGAUCCUAUCAUGAGCAACGGCAUUUUGUUCAUUCCUUCACCACCAUCAUGCUCGCUGCUGUGUAUUCACUUCGGUUUCCCUGUGACCUUCAGCUAACCUUCAGAUUUGUCCAGAAUGUUCCCAUGGGUUUUCGGUCCAAACUCGUGUGAAAGUUUGCUUAUAUAAAGUAGCAAAGCCCAGGAAACAGACUGAGAGUAGGGGAUGCAUGUGAAGUCUGUGAAUUCCACCAAAAUAAUUAUGUAACCAUAGAAUAUCUCCAAUUGGAAGAGACCUGCAAGGAUCUUUGAGUCCAACUCCUGGCUCCACGCAGUAGCACAACAACAUUCACACCCUAUGCCUGAGAGUGUUGUCCAAAUGCUCCUUGAACUCUGCCAGCUUGGGGUCAUGCUCACUGCCCUGGGGAGCCUGUUCCAUGCCCACUACCCUCUGAUGAAGAACUUUUUCCUGACACCCAGACCCGAUCAUCCCCUGACACAGCUCCAUUCCAUUCCCUUGGGCCAUGUCACUGUCAACAGAGAGAUCAGCACAGCCACUCUACCCCUGUGAGGAGUUGCAGCCGCCAUGAGGCCUCUGCUCUGGGUUGAGCAAACCAAGGGACUUCAGCUGCUCCUUACACAUUUUGCCCUCCAGACCAUCUUUGUAAUCCUCCUUUGGAUUCUCUCUAAUAGUGUUACGACUUUCUUAUGCUGUGCCCAAACCUGCACACAGUGUUUAAGGUGAGGCUGCACAGCACAAAGCAGAGCAGGACAACUCUUUCCCUCACUUGGCUAGCAGUGCUGGGUCUGAUACUUCACAGGGUACAGUGUGCCAGGGUGCACUGCUGAUUCAGAUUCAGCCUGCCAUCAAUCAGAACCCCCCAACAUAAGCAAACUGAAGUAUGCUUGACCUAUAGCUGCUUUGCUUUUGAUAGAAGACCCCAACUAUUCAAACACACACUUCACUCUCCAAUAUGUCUUGCUACAUCUCCUCUAGUUCUUGUGGGAGAGGAGGAAGGAUGAUAAUGACAGCUCCCUUGUGCCCACACCUGGAAACUCUUCCACCCUUCCUCCUCGUGCUGGAGGGUGAUGUUCAGCGCAUGUUGAAGGCUUCCAGCAACUGAUUCAUUACCCCAUCAUACCAGAGUAGCAUCCAGCAUUGCUGUGUCAGUCCAGGGAGCCUUGUUGUAAAAUUUAGGUCUUACCAAUUCCUGCAAAGCACCAGAAGCCACAGAUAUCUGUCAUCCACUGGUGAUGUAAAGACACAUAAUCAUGGUUAGAAAAUAUUUCAAGGAUGCAUUAGUGUUUCACUAACGUAAAUGUGAUAUUUACGUAUAGGUAAUAUUCUAAGUGGCAUCUUCGUGGUUCCCCUACAAUUAAAAUAAUCAGUAGAAAGAUGCCUUCUCUUUUUUUUUUUUCAGCAGUACAUUUGAUAUCUCAGCCAUUUAACACAGCAUUGAAAACAUUUUCUUUCGUGCUUUAAACCUAGAUUUGAAUAUAUCUAUUUUCUAUGAACCGAGUUCAGUACAAACAUGAUAAAAUUCUCACUAAAGGAAAGAAGCACCUGGUGUAUACUGAACUUGCUUAGGAGAUGGAUGGGAGGCACUGCAAAAAGUUGACUCAGCAAGAAAUCUUUCUGCAGAUUUUCAAGGAAAGGCUUUUUGCUCUUGCAUCUUUACAAACAUCUCUGGAUAUACUACAACAGCCCUAUAUGUAGACACACUUAUCCUGGAAUUGGCUGCUUUUCUAUUCACUGAGGCAGGAAAAAAAAGAUAUUUUUCCCCCAGAACACAGGAAUGACAUGAACAGCAAUACCUGCUGAAAUUCAUGCAUACCCUAAUGCUGUAUACUGUAUGCAUACUGUCACAUUUUUUUCAAAUGGAGAAAUACUAAAUUUAUUUCCACGUGUGGCUCUCUUGUAUCACUUGGCAUUGAUGUAUUAUUAAGGAAAGCCACGACUACCUAUGACUGCGUUGCACAUUCUGCAGGAACACACCUACUAGCCCUGAUAACAUGGCCAUGUGAUUUGCAUAAUAACUUUCUGUCUAUCUAAAUUCACGUUUCUAUUACAACUGUGCAUGCGAUUCCUAGUGUUUUUCUCUGCUGUUAAACAGAUGCUGCAUUUCAGACUUGGUGAAAUAGUUCUCUCUCUCUAUUUUUUUUUCCCUUCACAGAACUGCUUUGGGAUCUCUUUAGCUGAAAGAUAGCAUAUAAAUGCAAAUCACCCUUGGCCACAUAGCCCAGAAUUACUUUUGCAUUUUAUUCUUGAUCUGCUUCUGUAUAUAGAGCAUUCCUGAAAGACAGUGAAAUUAGAUUUACUCAUAUGGCUGAUCUGCUUUGGGGAAAACAAACACAUGAUAGCCUUGUGCUACAUGAAUGUCAUGAUCUAAUGAAUGAUCCUGCUGAAAAGUAUCUCCUUUAAUUAAUUACUGACAAGACAAUUUCAUUUCAUUUAUAGCUUUAGAAAACAAACAAAGCAAAAAAUCCCAAAGCCUACAUAUAUGUAUGUCACACCUUCUCAAGUUUCUUUUUUCCCUAGUGUUAUUAACACAGAUAUAUACAUUUGCACCAAUAAUUGCUCUUUGUUUGAAUCCUCUUAAGCAAGUCUCCUUUAGUAAUGACUAUCACAAAACAUAUUCUGGCAGAAUAUGCAAAUUCUGCAAAAGAUAAGUCUGUUUAUGUUACUCAGUAAAGACAUAACGUUUACUCAAGAACAGAAACUCUACCUGCAUGCAAAUUAAAUUUAGAGCACUCCUUUGCAGAUAGUUAAAGUCUAUCAGGCCAGGGGCAAUCCAUGAAUGUGACUGCAGUGACGGAAGGUAAAGUGAGUAAGAAGUCUGAUCUGCAGACAGUGCACGUGUACCCGAUGCACGAAAAUUCCCACCAUGGGAUUGUCAAUGGUUUGUUCACCAUCCACAAGAAUUGGCUUCCUGUGUUAUGAAACUUUGGAAAAGCAGACAGAAAAGAAAUACGAAUAAAAAUGAAACUCCAAUUAAAAGAGCUAGAGCCAAGUGCUUACUGCAUCAC